GAUGAACGCUGGCGGCGUGCUUAACACAUGCAAGUCGAACGAUGAAGCUCAGCUUGCUGGGUGGAUUAGUGGCGAACGGGUGAGUAACACGUGAGUAACCUGCCCUUAACUCUGGGAUAAGCCUGGGAAACUAGGUCUAAUACCGGAUAGGAGCGCCUACCGCAUGGUGGGUGUUGGAAAGAUUUAUCGGUUUUGGAUGGACUCGCGGCCUAUCAGCUUGUUGGUGAGGUAAUGGCUCACCAAGGCGACGACGGGUAGCCGGCCUGAGAGGGUGGCCGGCCACACUGGGACUGAGACACGGCCCAGACUCCUACGGGAGGCAGCAGUGGGGAAUAUUGCACAAUGGGCGAAAGCCUGAUGCAGCGACGCCGCGUGAGGGAUGACGGCCUUCGGGUUGUAAACCUCUUUCAGUAGGGAAGAAGCGAAAGUGACGGUACCUGCAGAAGAAGCACCGGCUAACUACGUG
rnacentral:rRNA from 1 species